GAAUAUUGGACAAUGGGGGGAACCCUGAUCCAGCGACGCCGCGUGAGUGAAGAAGUAUCUCGGUAUGUAAAGCUCUAUCAGCAGGGAAGAAAGAAAUGACGGUACCUGACCAAGAAGCCCCGGCUAACUACGUGCCAGCAGCCGCGGUAAUACGUAGGGGGCAAGCGUUAUCCGGAUUUACUGGGUGUAAAGGGAGCGUUGACGGCCAGACAAGUCAGAAGUGAAAACCCGCGGCUCAACUGCGGGAGUGCUUUUGAAACUGUUUGGCUGGAGUGCAGGAGAGGUAAGUGGAAUUCCUAGUGUAGCGGUGAAAUGCGUAGAUAUUAGGAGGAACACCAGUGGCGAAGGCGGCUUACUGGACUGUAACUGACGUUGAGGCUCGAAAGCGUGGGGAGCAAA
rnacentral:rRNA from 1 species